CCUACUGGUGGCAGCAGUGGGGAAUAUUGGGCAAUGGGCGCAAGCCUGACCCAGCAACGCCGCGUGAAGGAAGAAGGCUUUCGGGUUGUAAACUUCUUUUCUGAGGGACGAAGAAAGUGACGGUACCUCAGGACUAAGCCACGGCUAACUACGUGCCCGCAGCCGCUGUCAUACGUAGGUGGCAAGCGUUCUCCGGAUUUAUUGGGUGUAAAGGGCGUGUAGGCGGGAAAGCAAGUCAGAUGUGAAAACUCAGGGCUCAACCCUGAGCCUGCAUUUGAAACUGUUGGUCUUGAGUGCUGGAGAGGCAAUCGGAAUUCCGUGUGUAGCGGUGAAAUGCGUAGAUAUACGGAGGAACACCAGUGGCGAAGGCGGAUUGCUGGACAGUAACUGACGCUGAGGCGCGAAAGCGUGGGGAGCAAACAGGAUUAGAUACCCUUGUAGUC
rnacentral:rRNA from 1 species